AAACGACUCUCGGCAACGGAUAUCUCGGCCUCGCAUCGAUGAAGAACGUAGCGAAAUGCGAUACUUGGUGUGAAUUGCAGAAUCCCGUGAACCAUCGAGUCUUUGAACGCAAGUUGCGCCCGAAUCCAUUAGGCCGAGGGCACGUCUGCCUGGGCGUCACG
rnacentral:rRNA from 1 species